rnacentral:rRNA from 1 species
GACGAACGCUGGCGGCGUGCCUAAUACAUGCAAGUCGAACGGAAAGGCCCUGCUUUUGUGGGGUGCUCGAGUGGCGAACGGGUGAGUAACACGCGAGUAACCUGCCCUUGACUUUGGGAUAACUUCAGGAAACUGGGGCUAAUACCGGAUAGGAGCUCCUGCUGCAUGGUGGGGGUUGGAAAGUUUCGGCGGUUGGGGAUGGACUCGCGGCUUAUCAGCUUGUUGGUGGGGUAGUGGCUUACCAAGGCUUUGACGGGUAGCCGGCCUGAGAGGGUGACCGGCCACAUUGGGACUGAGAUACGGCCCAGACUCCUACGGGAGGCAGCAGUGGGGAAUAUUGCACAAUGGGCCGAAGCCUGAUGCAGCAACGCCGCGUGCGGGAUAACGGCCUUCGGGUUGUAAACCGCUUUCGCCUGUAACGAAGCGUGAGUGACGGUAAUGGGUAAAGAAGCACCGGCUAACUACGUG